rnacentral:tRNA from 1 species
GAUACUAAGCCGGAAUAACGGAUAACAUUGAUAUUGUUAAAUAUGAACUUAAAUUCUUGUAUCU